AGAGUUUGAUCAUGGCUCAGGAUGAACGCUAGCUACAGGCUUAACACAUGCAAGUCGAGGGGCAGCAUUAUCGAAGCUUGCUUUGAUAGAUGGCGACCGGCGCACGGGUGAGUAACGCGUAUCCAACCUUCCCCAUAGUAGGGCAUAGCCCGUAGAAAUGCGGAUUAAUACCCUAUGUAUUCCGAGGAUGACAUCUGAUUCGGAACAAAGGUUCACCGCUAUGGGAUGGGGAUGCGUCUGAUUAGGUAGUAGGCGGGGUAACGGCCCACCUAGCCGACGAUCAGUAGGGGUUCUGAGAGGAAGGUCCCCCACAUUGGAACUGAGACACGGUCCAAACUCCUACGGGAGGCAGCAGUGAGGAAUAUUGGUCAAUGGGCGAGAGCCUGAACCAGCCAAAGUAGCGUGCAGGACGACGGCCCUAUGGGUUGUAAACUGCUUUUAUACAGGGAUAAAGUCGGGGACGCGUUCCCCGUUUGCAGGUACUGUAUGAAUAAGGACCGGCUAAUUCCGUGCCAGCCGCCGC
rnacentral:rRNA from 1 species